UGCGUUCCCAUGAUUCACCGGCCGCGCCGCGCGGGGAAGCACGCAGGCCGCCUGGAGAGUCACGUGUAACCACCACCGGGAGGGUGUACGUGGCGGAUGAACACAGCAUUGAACGAGAGCCUGGGCUUGGGUGAAGCCAGGGUGUCCUGAAGGUCCUGGGUCUACAAGACUGGAGCAGCAUUGGGUAAUGGGCACCAGUGCCAUGGAUGCCAUCCGUGUGCAGGUCGGGACACUAGUCCUGAGCAUGAGAGAACUCUUCUGAAAACGUUGCUGAUUGCUGCUGUAGGACGUUCAUCAACACAGAUGACCAGGGCUCACGCCAGUGCUCCUGCAAGCCAGUGAAGACCGAAGAAUCUCCAUUGCUUCAUCAUUGGGUUUGUUGGCUGUGUCAUCUGCCAGUUCAGUUCUGCUACUGAGCCCUUCAAUGAAGUUUCUGCUUCAGAGAUGCCCUCAGAGGAGGUAGGAGCCCCAUUUGUCCCCACUCCGAACGGCCCUGAGAUGCCAUUUUUGGCCUCUCUCUGAUCAGCAGUUCUAACAGUUCUCAAGGACAAUGGCUGUGUUCAGAAUGAUUAAGGUUUCCAGAAGUCAGACCUUCAGACAAGUGGAGAUUCCCAGAAUUCUGGAUUCCAAAAAUGAUGUUAUGGCAAUGUUCUAAAUCCUUUGAGAUACAUAUUCUUUCAUCUCCAUAUAAUAGAUGAAGUAGCUGAAGCUCAAGAGGAUCAAAACAUGUUUUAAGUCAUGGAGCUGUAAAUGACUUAACUUCUCUCAGAUGGAGUUUUUCAUCUGUAAAAUGUGGAUAAUUAUACCUAUUUAUGGAGCAACUUGUGAAGAUGGAAUAAAAUAAUAUAUAAAAAAGCACUCAAGAAAUGGUGUUGUUUGGUGUUUCCCAGGAAGACAUUGGGCACCUUGCAAGAAAUGUUGGAAUGAUGCCACAUUUGCAUCAUCCGCUCCAUAAACUGCACCGAAAUGAAGACCUGCCUAAAGGUGUGGAAACACACUAGGGCCGUUUCUCUUUGCCCAACACAAAUUCCCUCUGAACUUCACACAAGUUCACCAAUAGCAGUCAUUUUGGUUGUGAGUUCUGUCUUUUCAUGUUAGCUUUUAACUGACAGCUACCGGGUACAUGGGACUUGAUAGAAACCCUUGUGCCUUCCCACAUUUCGAAUGAACAGUCCAGAAAUAAGUAGGAGGCAACAUAAAAACCUGAGGUGAAAGAAUAACUGGGAAAUUUAAUAAAGAAGAAAUGACCUGUUCAAUUUGAGAAUGAAAUUGCUUUACCAGAACAAAAUUCAGUAAGAUUUGAAGCCCAGACUCCAGUGCUACCACGGUGUGAAGAAACCUACCUCCGACUCUGAGCUGGAGUUUAAAGAGUCAUUAAAAAGCAAAGCGGGGCGCCUGGGUGGCUCAGUCGGUUAAGCGACUGCCUUCGGCUCAGGUCAUGAUCCUGGAGUCCCUGGAUCGAGUCCCGCAUCGGGCUCCCUGCUCGGCGGGGAGUCUGCUUCUCCCUCUGACCCUCCCCCCUCUCAUGUGCUCUCUCUCUCUCAUUCUCUCUGUCUCAAAUAAAUAAAAAUUUUUUAAAAAAUCUUAAAAAAAAAUAAAUAAAUAAAUAAAAAGCAAAGCAAGACGAACAAAAACAAAAGCAACCAUGUGCGAUAAGACUCCAAAUCAUUUGAUGUUAAGUUUUACGAGGAGUGUUUC